UUUGGCCUACUUUUAAAUUGGAUUGUUUGUUUUCCUACUGGUAUUAAUAUCAAGAGCUAUCUGUAAUACAGUUCCUGUGUGUUUCUCUGGCUCAGCGUCGGCUUCCUGGGAACUUGGUCCAUGACAGUUGGUGCCAAGAGUGGUUUGAGAAAUCAGUUGCUAAGAUGAGGUUUUGGAGUCGGAUCAUUUGCUGCUCGUUUGGCAAUGAGGACCUCCACCAACCACAGGAUAGCAUCUGGCAUGAGAUAGCAGUGCACCUGCUAAUACUUACACCAGAUGUAAACUGGAAAGUUAGCAGAACUGCCUUCCAUAUUCCUGGAAUCAUGAGAUCUUGGAAGAACAUACUCAACUGAAAGAAAAAAAAAAUAAAGAAGACUUUCUCAUCUA